UACCAGCACCCCGAGUGGUCGGGACGAUUAUUGGGCCUAAAGCAUCCGUAGCCGGUCAUGCAAGUCCUCCGUUAAAUCCACCUGCUUAACAGAUGGGCUGCGGAGGAUACUACAAGGCUAGGAGGCGGAAGAGGCAAGCGGUACUCAGUGGGUAGGGGUAAAAUCCUCUGAUCCAUUGAAGAACACCAGUGGCGAAGGCGGCUUGCCAAUACGCGCUCGACGGUGAGGGAUGAAAGCUGGGGGAGCAAACCGG
rnacentral:rRNA from 1 species